rnacentral:rRNA from 1 species
GGCAGCCGCCGCGGGAACACCGGCAGCUCUAGUGGUAACAAUCUUAUUGGGCCUAAAGCGUCCGUAGCCGGUUAAUAAGUCUCUGGUGAAAUCCUGUAGCUUAACUGUGGGAAUUGCUGGAGAUACUAUUAGACUUGAGACCGGGAGAGGUUAGAGGUACUCCCAGGGUAGAGGUGAAAUUCUGUAAUCCUGGGAGGACCGCCUGUUGCGAAGGCGUCUAACUGGAACGGUUCUGACGGUGAGGGACGAAAGUUAGGGGCGCGAACCGGAUUAGAUACCCGGGUAGUCCUAACUGUAAACGAUGCGGACUUGGUGUUGGGGUGGCUUUGAGCUGCUCCAGUGCCGAAGGGAAGCUGUUAAGUCCGCCGCCUGGGAAGUACGGUCGCAAGACUGAAACUUAAGGAAUUGGCGGGGGAGCACCACAACGCGUGGAGCCUGCGGUUUAAUUGGAUUCAACGCCGGACAUCUCACCAGGGGCGACAGCUGUAUGAUAGCCAGGUUGAUGACUUUGCUUGACUAGCUGAGAGGUGGUGCAUGG